rnacentral:rRNA from 1 species
AUUGAACGCUGGCGGCAUGCCUUACACAUGCAAGUCGAACGGCAGCACGGGAGCAAUCCUGGUGGCGAGUGGCGAACGGGUGAGUAAUGUAUCGGAACGUGCCCAGUCGUGGGGGAUAACGUAGCGAAAGCUACGCUAAUACCGCAUACGAUCUAUGGAUGAAAGCGGGGGACCGUAAGGCCUCGCGCGAUUGGAGCGGCCGAUAUCAGAUUAGGUAGUUGGUGGGGUAAAGGCCUACCAAGCCGACGAUCUGUAGCUGGUCUGAGAGGACGACCAGCCACACGGGGACUGAGACACGGCCCAGACUCCUGCGGGAGGCAGCAGUGGGGAAUUUUGGACAAUGGGCGCAAGCCUGAUCCAGCAAUGCCGCGUGCAGGAUGAAGGCCUUCGGGUUGUAAACUGCUUUUGUACGGAGCGAAAAGGCUCUCUCUAAUACAGGGGGCUCAUGACGGUACCGUAAGAAUAAGCACCGGCUAACUACGUGCAAGCCGCCGCAGUAACAC